GAUAUUUAAACAAGAUUUGCAAGGAGCUUGCUUUUUAAGCUUUUCUACAUAUUAAAGAUGUUUGCGAAGAAAGCUGUAAGUUUCUCCAAUUUUUUUCAGUGACUCCGUCCAGCGCUGUCUUCGGCUUAAUUGCGUAAGGCAGGUGGCAGUUGCUGCUGCCUUUCUGCCGAUGAGGCGAAUAAGACACGGUCACAGACAGGCCACUUUAAAGUUGUUCCCGUUGGUGAUUAGAGACGGUUCUCCGGCUCACCCCUCCGCCGUGGUCCACGGCACUCCACGGUACGAGUGCUUUCCAUUAUGGCCAAGUGUCAAAUUAAGUGCUCACAUGAUUAAUAUUUGUGGCCAGCGGCAUUGUUCCACAAUGCAUUCGUAUUCGGCCAAUUCCAUUUGGCUUCUGUCGUGGCCCAGUGCAAUUUUCUCGCUGAUUAACCGUGUCGUUUGGCUAUUAACUUUUAAUUGUGAGUUUCAUACCGAAACGCAUAAGCGUCUAUUCCUAGAGGUAUUUCUAGCCAUAAAGUCAAUUGAUGUAUUUGGCAUCUCCAAUUUUUACGAUGUCCUGGAACGGAUCGGCAAUGUCCAGCGGAAAUUGACUGACAUAGCUACGUGGGUCUGACGCAUACGACGGGCUCUUUUGGAAUGGCAUGUGGACCUCGGGCAGAAUGUGUAACCAAGCGCAAAUGAAUCAUCGAAGUCGGGCCAAAAAGACCAGCCCAGACCGCAGGGCCACGAUCGGUAGUCCGAUGGUUUUAAUAAGGCAAGGCGACAAACAACCAGGAAUUGGGUCAGCUGAGAUAAAUGCGAUGCACUUAAAUGGAGCUGAUUUCGGGAGUUCUUCUUGUUCGAAAUUUAAUACACUGAUGGAUACGCCAAUGGGGACUGGGAAGGAGUUUCGAACAAUGGCUGGGCUUUCAUGCGAACUGUCAACUUGUCACGACAAUUAAGCAAGUCGAUGGCUAUCUGGCUAUCUGGCUAUCUAUCGGCGGAACAUCAGGAAACGCCCACGCAUGCCAGUCGUCUUAAGCGUUAAACAAAUUAAAUAUAUCGAAUAUGUGGAGGGGGGUGAAAUUAUUGAAAUACGACACCGAUCGCAUCAGGCAGAGGCGAUGACCCAAUUCGCUCUGCACUUGCGCGACAAUUUUGGUAAACACAGAACCCACGGGAGACCCCAUGCCACCUUUAGAGACAGACCCCCAUAUCCCCAUUCUUUUUGUCAGCAGCUCCAAUAUUUGUUUACCAUUUAGUUUAUUAUGCUGUGUGCGCAUGGGUUCUGCCUUGUUUGAUUGCCCUUAUUGGACUUCGGUUCGUUCUCUUGGUCGGUGGUGAUUUCCAAUUCAAGUUAUGAUUAUUAUAUGUUGGGAAAGUCAAAUAACGGUCGCUAUAAGUCGGGCCAUAUGCAUUCAAAGUGCCACAAUUGCCGGCGAUAAUUUCAAUUUGAUGAGUUUUCAAUUGGGGUUUCCAUUGCUUUUCCCAAUGGGUUUUUUGAUCUUUCCCCGAGGUGUUGGGAAGAUUGUUAAUAUGCCAAAUGCUUCACAAAUAUCGUACAUUAGUUCACCUUUGUUGACAUCGAUGAGAAAGAAGUUUCAACAAUAACUUAAUUGAUGCGAUAUGUGCAUGGGAAUGGAGCUUGCCUGCUCAGUAAAAUGUUAUGGUUAGUAAUUAGGAAAGUAAAAUUUGAACUAAAUAAUACUUUCAAUAUUAUUACAUACUUUAAAAGAUACAACUUUUCAGUUGCAUUUAAAGGUAUCUGUGCCAGAACGAGCUUCUGUUCUGUAGGUUCUGUUAAUUAAAAAUGCAUUUCCUGUCCUCAAUUUGAAAACCCCGUGGCUUAUCAGCUGCAAAGUUAACCCAAAAGAGUUGAAAGCGCCAAAUCAUCGCGAGGAUUAACACCAUUCGACCGGAGUCACCGUUGAUCUCUGCCCACCUGAAAAGUUCCCAUCGUUUUACGUGAUUUGUUCUGUGUCAGUUUCCUUUUCAGCCUGUGACAAAUUUACGUGGAGUGACUUUUGUAAAUUUCAUUUUAAUAAUUUUUUGGAAAUGCUUAAUCACUUUUCAACUCAAAACGUACGUGGUAUAAAAACGAUCGCAAGGAGAAAAUUGUAGAGGUUCGCCAUUGCGUAGUAUCUUUCAAUUUCGGUUCGAUUGUAGAGAGGCUUGUCUCAUGGAAUUUUCCCCCCAUUGCUUUCAGUGCGAAAAAUCAGAAACAAGUCUCCCUGUUGUCUGCCACAGCAGAUAUCUAAAAAUAACAAACAAGAAAAAAAAGAUAAAAUAUUGUAAACAAAAUUUUCAUUCCCCCUUUGCGCAGAAAAUUCUUUUCGUUUAUAAAUACAACUGCCGCGAGAUUGUCAAAGUUGACAAUAUAUUUUUAAUCAACAAUACGCGCAGCAAAAACUCAACCACAGUCCGCAUAUCUCACAGAUACUUAUUUUCCCACUUUAAGAAGGCAUCACGCAAAUGAAAUUGAAGGGGGAUAGAGAUACCACAUUAAAAUACCACAGGGUAGAUCACCUUCAAAUGGAAACUUAGUAUACGCAUUUUUGAUAUUUUUAAAUUAAGUACUUAGGUUUAAUGUUUGUUUUUAGCUCUUUUAGCUCUAAUGAUAUUGGAACUGACGCUAAGUUAAA